rnacentral:rRNA from 1 species
GAUGAACGCUGGCGGCGUGCCUAAUACAUGCAAGUCGAGCGAACAGACGAGGAGCUUGCUCCUCUGACGUUAGCGGCGGACGGGUGAGUAACACGUGGAUAACCUACCUAUAAGACUGGGAUAACUUCGGGAAACCGGAGCUAAUACCGGAUAAUAUAUUGAACCGCAUGGUUCAAUAGUGAAAGACGGUUUUGCUGUCACUUAUAGAUGGAUCCGCGCCGCAUUAGCUAGUUGGUAAGGUAACGGCUUACCAAGGCAACGAUGCGUAGCCGACCUGAGAGGGUGAUCGGCCACACUGGAACGGAGACACGGUCCAGACUCCUACGGGAGGCAGCAGUAGGGAAUCUUCCGCAAUGGGCGAAAGCCUGACGGAGCAACGCCGCGUGAGUGAUGAAGGUCUUCGGAUCGUAAAACUCUGUUAUUAGGGAAGAACAAAUGUGUAAGUAACUAUGCACGUCUUGACGGUACCUAAUCAGAAAGCCGCGGCUAACUACGUG